rnacentral:rRNA from 1 species
GACGAACGCUGGCGGCGUGCUUAACACAUGCAAGUCGAACGGAAAGGCCCUGCUUGCAGGGUACUCGAGUGGCGAACGGGUGAGUAACACGUGGGUGAUCUGCCCUGCACUUCGGGAUAAGCCUGGGAAACUGGGUCUAAUACCGGAGAGGAGCCAUUUUUAGUGUGAUGGGUGGAAAGUUUGUUCGGUGUAGGAUGAGCUCGCGGCCUAUCUGCCUGUUGGUGGGGUAAUGGCCUACCAAGGCGGGGACGGGUAGCCGGCCGGAGAGGGUGGACGGCCACAUUGGGAAUGGGAUACGGCCCAGACCCCUACGGGAGGCAGCCGUGGGGAAUAUUGCACAAUGGGCGCAAGCCUGAUGCAGCGACGCCGCGUGGGGGAUGACGGCCUUCGGGUUGUAAACUCCUUUCGCUAGGGACGAAGCUUUUUGUGACGGUACCUAGAUAAGAAGCACCGGCUAACUACGUG